rnacentral:rRNA from 1 species
AGUGAACGCUGGCGGUAGGCCUAACACAUGCCAGUCGAACGGCAGCACAGUAAGAGCUUGCUCUUACGGGUGGCGAGUGGCGGACGGGUGAGGAAUACAUCGGAAUCUACUUUUUCGUGGGGGAUAACGUAGGGAAACUUACGCUAAUACCGCAUACGACCUACGGGUGAAAGCAGGGGAUCUUCGGACCUUGCGCGAUUGAAUGAGCCGAUGUCGGAUUAGCUAGUUGGCGGGGUAAAGGCCCACCAAGGCGACGAUCCGUAGCUGGUCUGAGAGGAUGAUCAGCCACACUGGAACUGAGACACGGUCCAGACUCCUACGGGAGGCAGCAGUGGGGAAUAUUGGACAAUGGGCGCAAGCCUGAUCCAGCCAUACCGCGUGGGUGAAGAAGGCCUUCGGGUUGUAAAGCCCUUUUGUUGGGAAAGAAAAGCAGCAGGUUAAUACCCCGCUGUUCUGACGGUACCCAAAAAAUAAGCACCGGCUAACUUCGUG